AUAUUCAUAUAACACACAUCCAUUAUAAAUAAAUAAAUAAUUACAUUAUACAAUUAUCAUAUAAUUAUCAUUUUAGCAUUGACCUCUAUUGUGUUUCUCGUUUAUCAUCCGAAUAAAGCCGAACAUUUCAAGCCUUUUUUUCGAGCUUUUCUCUAUCUCUCGUUUAUUUCUGCCCAAAUUGUCAUAAAUUUACUUCUGUUUUUAGUUGUUGUUUUUUUUUUCAUUAUUAAAUUUUUUUUUUGUGUGUUUUCAAAUUUGUGAUUUACAUAAUCAUCAAUCCUUGUAUGUGAUGUGAUGUAUUAAUAUAAAAUUUUUUUCCUUUUUUUGCAAUUAUUAAAGUGUUGUUAUUCUCGGCCAAUCACCUGUUUGUUUCAUAAUAAAGUUUUUUUUUAUAAUUUGAACAACGAAAAUAACAACAUAAUUAUCAACAUUCACAGAUUCUUGGCUUUUUUUCUGUGAUCAAAAUUUAUCCAUGAUUCCAUUCAUUGAAAAAAAUAUCAAAAUUUGCUGAUGAAAUCAUCAAAUCUUUUCGGUCUUCACUGUAUUGAUCUCGUCUCAAAAAAUCAUCUCCGAUUAUCAUUUUUUUCAUCCAUCAUUAUUAGCAAUCAUUAUAUAAGCAUUCUUUGUUCUUCUCACUUCAAGAAUUGAUUAAGAACC